GUUGCCUUUCAUUUUGACAGGAGACAAACUCACAUCCUUCCCACCAGAGAGAUCAGCCCUCCCUGCUGCUACAGUGCUGAUCUGUGGUCAUGCAAUGGAAGAGUUGGAGAUCUCCCARUAUCUCCGUUUUUGAUAAAAGAGACUGACAUCCAACAGUCAGGACUGCCAACAUUACCAUGGAAACCCCCAAAAAUAAAGACUUUCCCAGCCUUGUGAGAGUACACCUGCAAGAGCAAGAAUUGCCUAUCAAAAGUUACUUCUUCRUUAUGGGUGUCACCUAAGGACAUUUUGUGUGGACUGGAACUUCCUGUUGUACAAAUGAAAAAGUUUCCCAAAGAAGUCUGGUGUUUGUAAGAAGAAAUCAUUCCAAAAGUGCACAGACAGCCUGAAUCCAGACUGGCUAAAAGUGCUGUGCCCUCACGUCAGGCCUUAUCAGAAAGGCCACGGAACAUCUUUUCUGUGYAGCCUCAAACAAAUGGUUUCAUCACAAGGGCAGAUGGAUGUGCAGAGGUGACAGGGACAGGUAAUGCU